rnacentral:SRP_RNA from 1 species
GCCGAGCCCUGUAACGCGGGCUUGUGACCCGAGUUUUGGGGGCAUGAAAGUGAUGGAACAUUGACUCAGCUCCGAAGGGUUGGGUUUGAUGUGGCUAAUCUCUGGCCUGCCCGUUCCAAGCUGAGAGUUGGCUCGAGUGGCUCAAGCGAAGGCUCGAGCCUCACGAGUCCUAUAGAGGACGGCACUGCGUCAGGCUGGUUUCACAGAGCAGCGAUCACAUCCCGCUCCUGGCAGUGGAAGGAUAACAGGUCGAUGCCACUUGGAUCCGCAUGACCCGAUGGGCCGGUCCAAUUGGACCAUCACUUUU